rnacentral:rRNA from 1 species
UAGGGAAUAUUAGUAAUGGGCGAAAGCCUGAACUAGCGACACCGCGUGUGCGAAGAAGGCCUUCGGGUUGUAAAGCACUUUUAGAGAGGAUGAGGAAGGACGGUACUCUCUGAAUAAGUCUCGGCUAACUACGUGCCAGCAGCCGCGGUAACACGUAGGAGGCAAACGUUAUCCGGAUUUACUGGGCGUAAAGCGCGUGUAGGUGGUUCUGUAAGUAGGGCGUGAAAGCUCCCGGCUCAACUGGGAGAGGCCGUUCUAAACUGCAGAGCUAGAGGAUGGUAGAGGGAGGUGGAAUUCCGGGUGUAGCGGUGGAAUGCGCAGAUAUCCGGAGGAACACCAGUGGCGAAGGCGACCUCCUGGGCCACUCCUGACACUCAGACGCGAAAGCUAGGGUAGCAAA